rnacentral:rRNA from 1 species
GAUGAACGCUAGCGGCAGGCCUAAUACAUGCAAGCCGAACGGUAAGAUUUGUAGCAAUACGAGUCCUAGAGUGGCGUAAGGGUGCGUAACACGUAUGCAAUCUGCCCGCAACUGGAGGAUAGCUCGGGGAAACCCGGAUUAACCCUCCAUAAGAUCACACAAUGGCAUCAAAGAGUGAUUAAAUCUCCGGAGGUUGCGGAUGAGCAUGCGGUUGAUUAGCUAGUUGGUAGUGUAACGGACUACCAAGGCAAUGAUCAAUAGGGGAACUGAGAGGUUGAACCCCCNCACUGGCACUGAGAUACGGGCCAGACUCCUACGGGAGGCA